UGUGGAUAGGGGUGAAAGGCUAAACAAACUUGGAAAUAGCUGGCUCUCUCCGAAAACUAUUUAGGUAGUGCCUCAAGUAUUACCUGCGGGGGUAGAGCACUGUUUUGGCUAGGGGGUCAUGGCGACUUACCAAACCAAGGCAAACUCCGAAUACUGCAGAGUACAGCUUGGGAGACAGAGCACCGGGUGCUAACGUCCGGACUCAAGAGGGAAACAACCCAGACCGCCAGCUAAGGUCCCUAAAAUUGGCUAAGUGGGAAACGAAGUGGGAAGGCUAAAACAGUCAGGAUGUUGGCUUAGAAGCAGCCAUCAUUUAAAGAAAGCGUAAUAGCUCACUGAUCGAGUCGUCCUGCGCGGAAGAUGUAACGGGGCUAAGCCAGUUACCGAAGCUGCGGAUGUGCAAUUUAUUGCACGUGGUAGGAGAGCGUUGUGUAAGCCUGUGAAGGUGUCUGGUAACGGAUGCUGGAGGUAUCACAAGUGCGAAUGCUGACAUGAGUAGCGUUAAAGCGGGUGAAAAGCCCGCUCGCCGUAAGCGCAAGGUUUCCUACGCAACGUUCAUCGGCGUAGGGUGAGUCGGCCCCUAAGGCGAGGCAGAGAUGCGUAGCUGAUGGGAAACAGGUCAAUAUUCCUGUACCGAUCAAUAGUGCGAUGUGGGGACGGAGAAGGUUAGCUCAGCCAACUGUUGGAUAUGUUGGUUCAAGCCUGUAGUCGUGCCUGGUAGGCAAAUCCGCCGGGCUAAGAUGAGGGGUGAUAACGAGUCUGCUUGCAGACGAAGUGAGUGAUACCCUGCUUCCAGGAAAAGCCACUAAGCUUCAGCUAUUGACGACCGUACCGCAAACCGACACUGGUGCGCGAGAUGAGUAUUCUAAGGCGCUUGAGAGAACUCAGGAGAAGGAACUCGGCAAAUUGAUACCGUAACUUCGGGAGAAGGUAUGCCCCCAGUAGGUGGACCUGUACAAGGCGAGCCGAAAGGGGUUGCAAAAAAUCGGUGGCUGCGACUGUUUAAUAAAAACACAGCACUCUGCAAACACGAAAGUGGACGUAUAGGGUGUGACGCCUGCCCGGUGCUGGAAGAUUAAAUGAUGGGGUGCAAGCUCUUGAUUGAAGUCCCAGUAAACGGCGGCCGUAACAAUAACGGUCCUAAGGUAGCGAAAUUCCUUGUCGGGUAAGUUCCGACCUGCACGAAUGGCGUAACGAUGGCCACACUGUCUCCUCCUGAGACUCAGCGAAGUUGAAAUGUUUGUGAUGAUGCAAUCUCCCCGCGGAAAGACGGAAAGACCCCAUGAACCUUUACUGUAGCUUUGUAUUGGAUUUUGAACGGAUCUGUGUAGGGUAGGUGGGAGGCUUUGAAGUGUGGUCGCUAGAUCACGAAAAAAAAG
rnacentral:rRNA from 1 species